CCUACGGGAGGCAGCAGUGGGGGAUAUUGCACAAUGGGGGAAACCCUGAUGCAGCGACGCCGCGUGGGUGAAGAAGCGCCUCGGCGCGUAAAGCCCUGUCAGCAGGGAAGAAAAUGACGGUACCUGAAGAAGAAGCCCCGGCUAACUACGUGCCAGCAGCCGCGGUAAUACGUAGGGGGCAGGCGUUAUCCGGAUUUACUGGGUGUAAAGGGGGCGCAGACGGCGAUGCAAGCCAGGAGUGAAAGCCCGGGGCCCAACCCCGGGACUGCUCUUGGAACUGCGUGGCUAGAGUGCAGGAGGGGCAGGCGGAAUUCGUGGUGUAGCGGUGAAAUGCGUAGAUAUCAGGAGGAACACCGGUAGCGAAGGCGGCCUGCUGGACUGCAACUGACGUUGAGGCCCGAAAGCGUGGGGAGCAAACAGGAUUAGAUACCCCGGUAGUC
rnacentral:rRNA from 1 species